rnacentral:lncRNA from 1 species
AAAAGUUCAAAAAUACCAAUAUUUACAAAUCCAACUAAAAGAAAAAUAGUAUACAACAAUCACUAGGGUGCCUCCUAGUUAGCGCUCUUUUAACGUCAUUAGCUUGACCCGGUAGAGUUCAAACACCCAUCAGUAGGCGUUGAUACUCCUUUUGCUUGUUAUUUUCUUCUUUUUCUUUUUCCUGCUGAAUCUCUUCAAAAAGUUGAUCAAACCAAGCACCGGUUUCCAUGUUUCAAUCAUAGGAAUUUUGAUCUCCAAUUUCUUGAAGAUCUCCAUACAGUGCUUGAUUUUCUUUUCCUUCCUAUGAUUUUUCUUUUUAUGAGGAAGGGGCUUUUCAUAUGAUCUUUUCUUCCUUCCUCUCUUCCUUUUUUUCUCAACCUUCUCCUUCUUCCACUUUCUUUUUUUCUUUUUUCUUAUUUUCUUAUUUUUUCUUUUUUUCUCAACCACUGCUUUUUCUUUCUCCUCAUCUUUCUCUCCCUCACUCAACCUUUCUACUUCAUCUUCCUCUAUUUUCUCCUCUUAUAUCUUUUCCACUUCUCUCUCCACCUUCUCCUCAUCAACAACCUCAUAAAUUUUUGUCUCCAAAUUCCUAAAGGUAACUUCAUUUCUCUUGGAAUCACACCUCUCUAGAAAUUUGUCGAACUUUUCAUUCAAGUUUUUGACUUGUUCCGUCACAUCAGCUGUUUGUUGACAAAGUUGUUGAUCAUACUCCCACGAUUCUAUUGGUGAAGAGUAUUCUUGCUACCACUGAUAAUGUUGCCUCUCCUCCAUGCUUCUAUGAGAAGAAAAUCUAAUAUACAUGUCUUGUGGAAAGAAUUCAUCAUUCUUUAUAUCGUCCUCUAUGCCUUUAACAUGGUAUGGUUCAAAAUUCAUAAUCCUCUAAAAAAGUUCAUCAGAUUCUACACUUCUUUGUAUAGGCAUGAAAUGAGGCUCAACAGCUUGUCCAUAUCGACUUUGAUCCAUGUAUGAGUGAGGUUCCCACCAGUGAUUGAAAUUAUUUUCGUAGGCAAGAGUGCCCAUAUAAUCAAAUCCUUGUUCGUACUGCAUUUGGCAAACAUUAGGCACAAAACCCUAGACAACAUUUAUUAGAACAAAAAUAAAAACAAACAUGAAAAAUCAAGUCAAAUUCAAUCAAUUUACACUACUCGAAAAAGUUAAACCUCGAGCCCUCGACAACGGCGCCUAAAACUUGUUGACUCACUGGCAACUGCACCAUAUCGUGCAAGUAAUAUAAUCGGUAAAGCCCGAUAUCGUUCUUCCCAAGAGACUCGAAAGGCCUUAUCGUUCGUGUGAAUUAAAAUCGUAAGACUUGUAGAAAAAGAUUAAUUGUUGUGAAUGUAAAGACAGAAAAUUAACAUGCAAUGUAUUUGAUUUAAUUGACAAAAAAAACUAUGGAUGAAUGAAGUUGUUGGGGGUUGACAAUUUCAUCUAAUCCACUCCCUCUUAUCUACUCCUCUUGUUUAAUGUGCUUAAUUAUCUAAUUGUUAUGCAAACUUUCUUGGCCUACCCUUAACCCGAUCCCUCGGCGAAAAGAGCCUAUUACUAAUUACCGGCUUGCUAUCCCUAGCCUCCCCUAGCAAUUAAUAAUGCAUUAAGAACAGAAGCAAAAACAAUU